rnacentral:rRNA from 1 species
CCGAAAUACGAGUCCCCGGCAACGGUAGCCACGACAGGCGGUGGUUGAGAGACCCUCGGAAAAUGUCGUG